GAAAUUGGGUAGUCCCUUGAGUGGU
rnacentral:piRNA from 1 species